UACGUAGGGUCCGAGCGUUGUCCGGAGUUACUGGGCGUAAAGCGCGCGCAGGCGGCCCGCGAGGUGUCACGUGAAAGCCCCCGGGCUCAACUCGGGAGGGUCGUGGCAAACCGGCGGGCUUGAGGCCGGUAGAGGUGGGUGGAACUCCUGGUGGAGUGGUGAAAUGCGUAGAGAUCAGGAAGAACACCCGUGGCGAAGGCGGCCCACUGGGCCGGUGCUGACGCUGAGGCGCGAAGGCGUGGGGAGCGAACGGG
rnacentral:rRNA from 1 species